CCUUAGUUCAGCACUUCUGAAAGCCUACAGCUUUCCCAAGGAGCAGCAGAAAAAGAACAGCCCCAUCCUGGCGCUGUUACAGCCCAGUGACAGUCACAGGAUCAAGGACCCGCUGCGGGGGACGAAAACACAACACAGCCCAGUUAACACAGACCCAGAAACGGGCUGGAUACGCGCGUCUGUCCCCAGGAGAGUCUGAGGCUGCUUCACCGCCAGGCUGAGCAACGCAGCGCAGGAGAAACGGAGGGAAGGAGCCAGCAGAAACACGCGCAGGGGAGCAGCACCAUCCGGACCUGCAGCUCCUGGGAACUGAAGGCCAAUGAUCCAAAUGAAGGCUUGAAAACAUCCCACAUUUUAUUAAUCCAGUGCUCUGUGUUGGCUGCAGGCCUUUUCACAGCCGUGCACCGUGAAGCAGAACAUCCCCAGACUCCCAGAGCCUUCUCCACAACAAGUACACAGACUGGUGAGAGCAGCACAGGUCACUCAUUCCAUACAGACACGUGCUCCUAGCCUGAUACACCGACAGCUCUGGGCGUCUGAGCCCAGCAGCUCAGUGAGUAACUGCAGAGCAGGAGACCUGUAGAAAAAAUUGUCUUAAAUCAAUAAGGUACAAUGUGCUCUGCAGAAAAAUAAAAAUAAUAAUGUAAUUUUAUCUAAGUGCUCG
rnacentral:lncRNA from 1 species